rnacentral:rRNA from 1 species
GCAAGUCGAGCGAGAAGACGUAGCAAUACGUUUGUAAAGCGGCGAACGGGUGAGGAAUACAUGGGUAACCUACCCUCGAGUGGGGAAUAACUAGCCGAAAGGUUAGCUAAUACCGCGUACGCUUCUUGGACUUCGGUUCAGGGAGGAAAGCGAUACCGUGGGUAUCGCGCUCUUGGAUGGGCUCAUGUCCUAUCAGCUUGUUGGUGAGGUAACGGCUCACCAAGGCUUCGACGGGUAGCUGGUCUGAGAGGACGAUCAGCCACACUGGCACUGCGACACGGGCCAGACUCCUACGGGAGGCAGCAGUAAGGAAUAUUGCGCAAUGGGCGAAAGCCUGACGCAGCGACGCCGCGUGGGGGAUGAAGGUCUUCGGAUUGUAAACCCCUUUCGGGAGGGAAGAUGGAAUGGGGUAACUCAUUCGGACGGUACCUCCAGAAGCAGCCACGGCUAACUUCGUGCCAGCAGCCGCGGUAAUACGAAGGUGGCAAGCGUUGUUCGGAUUUACUGGGCGUACAGGGAGCGUAGGCGGUUCGGUAAGCCCUCUGUGAAAUCUCCAGGCUUAACCUG